UUCCGACUGUACAAUGGAACUGAUCGGAUUCCAGAUCGGAGCUCCGUCACCGGCAGACAUGUUUGGCCGGCAAAGUCAUCUUUUCCAGAGGUAUCCACUCGUCUUCAAUCGCACUCGUCUUUCUCGUCUCAGUGUCUUUUCGGACUCCGACGAUUCCAACCUGAAAUCGAUGAUCCUGCAAAUUAGAAUGGCAACAGGAAAUGAAAAUAGCUCACUUUCUGCAUCAAUAAUUCUACAUCACAUCCACCGUGGAAAGCAAUUCAGAAGAUGAGGUGAUUAUCAAAGUUUGAAUCUUUCA